UGAACGCUGGCGGCAGGCCUACCACAUGCAAGUCGAACGGUAACAGGAAACAGCUUGCUGUUUCGCUGACGAGUGGCGGACGGGUGAGUAAUGUCUGGGAAACUGCCUGAUGGAGGGGGAUAACUACUGGAAACGGUAGCUAAUACCGCAUAACGUCGCAAGACCAAAGAGGGGGACCCUCGGGCCUCUUGCCAUCGGAUGUGCCCAGAUGGGAUUAGCUUGUUGGUGGGGUAACGGCUCACCAAGGCGACGAUCCCUAGCUGGUCUGAGAGGAUGACCAGCCACACUGGAACUGAGACACGGUCCAGACUCCUACGGGAGGCAGCAGUGGGGAAUAUUGCACAAUGGGCGCAAGCCUGAUGCAGCCAUGCCGCGUGUAUGAAGAAGGCCUUCGGGUUGUAAAGUACUUUCAGCGGGGAGGAAGGGAGUAAAGUUAAUACCUUUGCUCAUUGACGUUACCCGCAGAAGAAGCACCGGCUAACUCCGUG
rnacentral:rRNA from 1 species